UGGGGAAUUUUGGACAAUGGGCGAAAGCCUGAUCCAGCCAUGCCGCGUGCAGGAUGAAGGCCUUCGGGUUGUAAACUGCUUUUGUACGGAACGAAAAGGUCUGCCCUAAUACGGCGGGCUCAUGACGGUACCGUAAGAAUAAGCACCGGCUAACUACGUGCCAGCAGCCGCGGUAAUACGUAGGGUGCAAGCGUUAAUCGGAAUUACUGGGCGUAAAGCGUGCGCAGGCGGUUAUGUAAGACAGAUGUGAAAUCCCCGGGCUCAACCUGGGAACUGCAUUAGUGACUGCAUAGCUGGAGUACGGCAGAGGGGGAUGGAAUUCCGCGUGUAGCAGUGAAAUGCGUAGAUAUGCGGAGGAACACCGAUGGCGAAGGCAAUCCCCUGGGCCUGUACUGACGCUCAUGCACGAAAGCGUGGGGGAGCAAACAGGAUUAGAUACCCUGGUAGUCCACGCCCUAAACGAUGUCAACUGGUUGUUGGGUCUUCACUGACUCAGUAACGAAGCUAACGCGUGAAGUUGACCGCCUGGGGAGUACGGCCGCAAGGUUGAAACUCAAAGGAAUUGACGGGGGUCAUAGCUGUUUUCCU
rnacentral:rRNA from 1 species